GAGAUGUUCUAUGAGAAAGAUGUCGCAAGCGGUAAAAGUGCCUCGCUUAUGAGAAUGCACGCUAUAUAAUGUUUAACAAUAACAAUUUUGUCCUCGUUGACUAUAUUUUAACAAUAGCGUACUGUCGACGAUUUUUAAAGUGAUACUGUGAAGUCCCAACAGAAGCGGUGCGAUUGGUUCUCAAAGACUACAAGUGAAGAAUCUUUCUCGAUUCAAAACUAGGCAGUUAGCUCAUAGCAACAAGAUGCUGACGCGUGUCACAACAUUGUUCUGUCUCCCGACUACCACAGCCAUGCAAAUUCUCCCAAAGCUUGAAGCUCAUGAGAAGCCCAAACAAGGAAUAUGGUAUUCCUUGGUACCCAGCGGGAGGUCCCCGAGUGUGAGCGUGGGACACACGUGCACCUACUGGCCUGAUGAAGGAGGUCAUGGAAGGAUCUUUAUAGUUGGGGGUGCAAAUCCUGGAGGCAGCUUCUCGCAUACGCACGCCAUAAAUCUGGAGUAUCUAAAGUGGGACACUUUGCCUUGGGAGGGUCUGAAGGCCCGAUAUGAGCACUGCACAUUGGUGCCCGGGAGCCCACCACAGAGUUUAUGGGUAUUUGGAGGCGCGGAACAGAGCGGCAACCACAACUGCAUCCAGAAAAUAAAUGUAGCAGAAAGCAAGGCCCACUGGGAGAACGUCACGGUAUCAGGGGAGCCCCCAAGUCCGAGGACGUAUCACACCAACUCGGCUUGUGUGGGGAGCUCAUUAUACGUGUUUUCUGGAGGGGAAGUAGGAGCAUCACCUGUGUCUGACCAAAAGCUAUACAUCUUCGAUACCGUGUCUUCUACCUGGGCGCAGCCAGAAACACAAGGCACACUGCCGCCAGUCCGACACGGACACGUUAUAGUGGCUGCAGGCUUGAAGAUCUACAUCCAUGGCGGCAUGGCAAACGACGCGUUCUUGGAUGAUAUGUACUCUCUUGAUCUAAGGUCGUGGGGAGUGCUGGAGCCCAGCUGUCAACGAGCAGGAGGCGGGGUACACCCUGAACUGGUUGCCAGCCAAUCGCAGGGCACAUUGAGACAAACAGACACACUCACAAUCACACCGAGGGGCAAUUUAGAGUGUCGAAUUAAUGUUGCAUGUUUUUCGAAUGUGGGAGGAAACUGGAGUGCCCGGAGAAAACCCACGCAGGCAUGGGGAGAACAUGCAAACUCCACACAGGCGGGUCCAGGAUUGAAACUGGGACCUCAGAACUGUGAGGCCAACGCUUUACCAAAUGAGCCACCAUGCCGCCCAUUGACCAAUUAUCAACGGCAAUAUUCGGCUUUUUGAAAUACUAUAUUCUGGUGUCAGCCAUUUUUUAAAAUCCAAAUAUGGAUAGAGGAUUAAUUUGAAAAAGGAUACAUCUCAGAAAACUAUGAACAUGAUCAUAGGCAUUUAAAUGAAGUUUUGUGUCGGAGUUUGUGUUGUUCAAAAUUUAGACACCAAUAGUUUCCCUUUUCCAGCAAAUGACUAUUGUCUCCAAAUACAGUAUAUGUUAUCAGCCUCCUUGACUAUUAAUAAUUUGUAUUGGCCCUGAAACACACACACACGUGCAUUGUGAUUCAUCUUUAGGUUGAUUGAAUGGAUUUGGAGUGUUGUCUUUUGUACAUGUUUUGCAAGCUACUGUUAUUUGUUGCAUGUCAUAUUGCAUGUAACCAAACCCAUUUCCAAAUGACUGAGGUUACAUGCCUUUUUUUGGGGGGGAACUCUUUCUGACUCACUUGCAUCUUUCCUUUCCCCAAUGUUGGUGUUUUACAAGAGCCAGAGUGGCAAGAAUGGAGUCUCCAUCCAUUUGUCUCCAUGCAGCACGCGUUACCGCGGGAGUCUCCCAGAACAACCACAUCUCACAGAGUAGAUCACGUGAUCAAGAUGUUUAUUUGCCAUGUUGUUGGGUGAAAUUGGAAGGCUUCUCCAUUCAAACCCUCAAUAAGAUCUGGAACCAAACAAUGUGUCAACCUCCAACUUCGCGGUGUGUGACGUUCAUGCCCACUAUCGAUCACGUUAACGGUUCAAAAGGUAAUAUGACAUGGGAGUUGGUGCAGCCCGAAGGAGUCGUUCCACCUGGCGUGGCAGCUCACUCGGCCAUGGCGCUAGGCAAUAACAUCUACAUCCUCGGUGGGCUGACUGCAGAUGGAGCCAGCAAUGACAUGUACACAUUUAACAUAG